rnacentral:rRNA from 1 species
CGGGGGGGUAACGCGUGAGAAUCUAGCUCUAGGUCGGGGACAACCACUGGAAACGGUGGCUAAUACCGGAUGAGCCGGAAGGUAAAAGAUUAAUUGCCUAGAGAUGAGCUCGCGUCUGAUUAGCUAGUUGGUGUGGUAAGAGCGCACCAAGGCGACGAUCAGUAGCUGGUCUGAGAGGAUGAUCAGCCACACUGGGACUGAGACACGGCCCAGACUCCUACGGGAGGCAGCAGUGGGGAAUUUUCCGCAAUGGGCGAAAGCCUGACGGAGCAAUACCGCGUGAGGGAGGAAGGCUCUUGGGUUGUAAACCUCUUUUCUCAAGGAAUAAGUUCUGAAGGUACUUGAGGAAUAAGCAUCGGCUAACUCCGUGCCAGCAGCCGCGGUAAUACGGAGGAUGCAAGCGUUAUCCGGAAUGAUUGGGCGUAAAGGGUCCGCAGGUGGCAUUGAAAGUCUGCUGUUAAAGAGUGAGGCUUAACCUCAUAAAAGCAGUGGAAACUACAAAGCUAGAGUGCGUUCGGGGUAGCAGGAAUUCCUGGUGUAGCGGUGAAAUGCGUAGAGAUCAGGAAGAACACCGGUGGCGAAA